rnacentral:rRNA from 1 species
GACGAACGCUGGCGGCGUGCUUAACACAUGCAAGUCGAGCGGGAAACUUCGGUUUCCAGCGGCGGACGGGUGAGUAACACGUGGGCAACCUGCCUCACAAUGAGGGAUAGCCCUCCGAAAGGAGGAUUAAUACCUCAUAACACAAGAGAAACGCAUGUUUCUCUUGCCAAAGAAUUUCGUUGUGAGAUGGGCCCGCGGCGCAUUAGCUUGUUGGUGAGGUAACGGCUCACCAAGGCUUCGAUGCGUAGCCGACCUGAGAGGGUGAUCGGCCACAUUGGAACUGAGACACGGUCCAGACUCCUACGGGAGGCAGCAGUGGGGAAUAUUGCACAAUGGAGGAAACUCUGAUGCAGCAACGCCGCGUGAGUGAUGAAGGUCUUCGGAUUGUAAAGCUCUGUCUUCUGGGAGGAUAAUGACGGUACCAGAGGAGGAAGCCACGGCUAACUACGUGCCAGCCGCCGCAGUAAUAC